rnacentral:rRNA from 1 species
UUUGUUAUAAAAUAGUUAAUACUUAACUAUGAAUUACAGUGCUACUCUGCCCACCCUAAAUGAAGAUAAAAUUUCAAACUAUUUUGAUUUAUGCCUAUGCUAGGAUGAGUAUUCAAUUUCUUUUUAGCACCUAUUGCAUAGCACUAUUAGGCGCAUUAUAGACUAUUAAAGACAUUAAUUAAAAAAAAGGAACUCGGCAAAUUGUGUUGCUUCGCCUGUUUAUCAAAAACAUGGUUCCUCGCCUUAAUAAAAUGAGGAAUCAGGCCUGCCCAGUGAGAUUUUAACGGCCGCGGUACUCUGACCGUGCAAAGGUAGCAUAAUCAUUUGCCUUAUAAUUGAAGGCUAGUAUGAAUGGUUGAACGUGAGCAACGCUGUCUACUUUUUAUUUUCUAAAAAUUAACUUUUAAGUGAAGAGGCUUAAAUUUAAUUAAAGGACAAGAAGACCCUGUCGAGCUUAAAAAGCAAGAAGAAGUUUAAUAUUAACAAAAUUUUUCUCUUCUAGUAUUUUUUAGUUGGGGCGACUAAGGAACAAAUAAAGCUUCUUUCAUUAUAGAUAGCUAAUUAGCCAAGAUCCAGCUAUGCUGAGCAAGAAAAUUAGUUACCGCAGGGAUAACAGCAUAAUCUCUCUUGAGAGACCAAAUCGAAAGAGGGGGUUGUGACCUCGAUGUUGGACUAGAAUAUCCUAAAGAUGCAGACGUCUUUGAAGGUUGGUCUGU